rnacentral:rRNA from 1 species
UACGUAGGUGACGAGCGUUAUCCGGAAUUAUUGGGCGUAAAGCGCACGCAAGCGGUUUUGCAAGUCUGACGUGAAAUCUCCUGGCUUAACUGGGAGCGGUCGUUGGAAACUGCAGAGCUUGAGGCGAUGAGAGGGGUGCAGAAUUCCCGGUGUAGUGGUGGAAUGCGUAGAGAUCGGGGGGAAUACCUGUGGCGAAGGCGGCGACCUGGGCCAAUACUGACGCUGAGGUGCGAAAGCGUGGGGAGCAAACAGG